rnacentral:misc_RNA from 1 species
GGAUGCGGGUGUGUGAGGGAGGCGGCCGAGAGGGUCGCUCCUGGUCAUGUCAUUCUGCGCAGACUCGAGGAGGACCGUUUGCUGGUGCGUCGUGUGCCGAGGGUUAGCACCUGCAACCAGUUUGCAACCGCGAGGGGCCCCGGGCAGAAGGUGGUGACGUACAGCUACUAUGGCAACGCCUCCGACCAUCGCGUGUAUGACAGAUAUUUCUCGGAGAUUCCCAGGCGGGCCAAGGAGGUUGCUCAGCGAUAUCCAGGUGAGUAUGUUUAUAGAGGAAUUAUAUUGGUAUGCAUGUAAAUAUCUAGGUGUAUCUACACAUAUGUAUUUUAUCAUUAUUAUUUUUUUUGUGUGUGUCAGUUUGUCUGC